AACCAGCUUUUCUGGCGGAAGCUCACCUGUUCAACUCAAAUUUGGAAGCUUUACUCUUCAUUCUUUUCAAGAUCCACACUGCCAGAGAAAGUCCUGAGACCGCAGCAGCGCCCCCUACUGCCACACCGCUGGUAAUGGCAGACAUCUGGUGGGGGGCUUCCCAGUCCAGUUGCCAUGGCGACCGCAGGUCAGCAGCUCGUGUCCGUCUAGCGUGAAACCUUCAUCGCAGGUGAUGGAGCACUGCGAGGUGAAGACGGGAGGGCCGUCCGAGCAGUUGAUGUGGCCGUUUUCAGGAGCCUCGGGUGGAGGGCAUCGAACGGCUGAGGGAGAGAGACACGUCAGACUUCACUGACCACAACACGGGUUUAACCCUCUAACACUGGAGCUCUCAUGUGAUUGCUUAGUGAGCAUUCACACAACAGUGAUUCUCCUGCUCCUUUCCAUGUAUGUUUUUCAGCUUGUAAUAACUUAUAUUUUCAGUGAUUUCAGUAAUAUUGGUUUCAAAACGUUCAGCUCA